AACGAACGCUGGCGGCAUGCCUAACACAUGCAAGUCGAACGAAAAAGCCUUCGGGCUUAGUGGCGCACGGGUGCGUAACGCGUGGGAAUCUGCCCUUGGGUUCGGAAUAACAGUUAGAAAUGACUGCUAAUACCGAAUGAUGUCUUCGGACCAAAGAUUUAUCGCCCAAGGAUGAGCCCGCGUCGGAUUAGCUAGUUGGUGAGGUAAAGGCUCACCAAGGCGACGAUCCGUAGCUGGUCUGAGAGGAUGAUCAGCCACACUGGGACUGAGACACGGCCCAGACUCCUACGGGAGGCAGCAGUGGGGAAUAUUGGACAAUGGGCGAAAGCCUGAUCCAGCAAUGCCGCGUGAGUGAUGAAGGCCUUAGGGUUGUAAAGCUCUUUUACCCGAGAUGAUAAUGACAGUAUCGGGAGAAUAAGCUCCGGCUAACUCCGUGCCUAGCAGCCGCGGUAAU
rnacentral:rRNA from 1 species